ACGAACGCUGGCGGCGUGCUUAACACAUGCAAGUCGAACGGAAAGGCCCUGCUUUUGUGGGGUGCUCGAGUGGCGAACGGGUGAGUAACACGUGAGUAACCUGCCCUUGACUUUGGGAUAACUUCAGGAAACUGGGGCUAAUACCGGAUAGGAGCUCCUACUGCAUGGUGGGGGUUGGAAAGUUUCGGCGGUUGGGGAUGGACUCGCGGCUUAUCAGCUUGUUGGUGGGGUAGUGGCUUACCAAGGCUUUGACGGGUAGCCGGCCUGAGAGGGUGACCGGCCACAUUGGGACUGAGAUACGGCCCAGACUCCUACGGGAGGCAGCAGUGGGGAAUAUUGCACAAUGGGCGGAAGCCUGAUGCAGCAACGCCGCGUGCGGGAUGACGGCCUUCGGGUUGUAAACCGCUUUCGCCUGUGACGAAGCGUGAGUGACGGUAAUGGGUAAAGAAGCACCGGCUAACUACGUG
rnacentral:rRNA from 1 species